UGGCGACUCCGCUGAAACCCUAAAACCCCCGGUUGAAGACGCCGUUAGACACGAGAGACCUAGAAUCCCCGUGGACGUUUCCAAUUCUGCCCGGAGAAGGUAUGGUUGUCGUGCAGGACAAUUUUUUUUUUUCUAUCAAUAAUAACCUUUCUAUUAAAUACUGGUAAUUUUGCUCAUGAAUAGAUCUUCUCUUCGCUCGGCAUCACCAAAUAAACAUCCGCCGGUUGUCCAUCUCCAGUCUAAAGGGUAAGUUUUCGCCGGAUAGACAAAAUUUUGUCUACUACCCCCGUAGUUUUCCUUUCUGGUUUCGUCUAUUUGUACUAAAUCGCCUACAAUUUUAAUCCAAUUGUAGACCCCCGGCAAGAGAAAUUGUCCUUGGUCUCAAAGCGGCCUCCCGGCCAGUGGACAUCCCAAGACCCUUAAGGUAGUUUGAGUAUAAGAUAUGUUUUUGCGUGCCCAGAAUGCUUAUUGUUGUUAACACGAUUCCUGUUGGUGAAUAGAAACACGCCGGUGGACAACACUGAAGCAGUAGACAGCCCAACAGACGAAUCCAUUGAAAUGUCCAUGCUUCCACCCCGGCUAUUUGCUACCAAUCGGUACCCUGCAGGAGGGCGCAUUAAUUCAUAUUCCAGGCCUGAAUAUCUUAUAGACAUCGUUGACGUUUUGCACGGGUCUUUGUAGUUUGAGUGGCUGAAGCAGUCAUCUUUCGGUGGUCUAUUGAAGCUCCCUAUUCGGAGAAGUUCCCUAUCUGGAAAGCUUGUACACCAAGUUCUUUGUCGUUCGCUGGUCACCGAUAAACGUCACGAGAUGUGGUUUGUAUAUGGAGGACAUCCCAUACGAUUUUCCAUGAGAGGGUUUGCCAUUUUAACAGGGCUUAACUGCAACCCAUACCCGCCGGAACAGGAGAUCGAGAAGAUGCAAACGCCACGGCGCAAGGAUGAAACGUAUUGGACAAAACUGUUUGGUCCUCAUAGCUCUAUGAGUAUUCGGGACAUUGUAGAUUGGUUGAAGCGGGACAAAAGGUUGCCUAAGCCUAAAAGAAUGGAUGGUCAGAAGAGACUAAGACUUGCACUCCUUGUCAUAGUUGAGGGUAUCCUUGUCUGCGACUCCUCCAACGUAAGAGCCUCGAGGAAGGUCGUUCAGAUGCUUGAAGACAUCAAUUCCUUUGACAGCUUCCCCUGGGGUCGUCUAUCAUUCGAGCGGACAAUGGUUACUGUAUCUGUGGGUUCUGUCAACAAAUCCGCUGAUGAACUUGCACAGAAACUUAUGCAAUCCCACACUGCUACCCAUGGCUUCACACUAGCCAUCCAGUUGCUCAUACUCCAAGCCGUCCCUCUGCUCCAGAACUAUCUCCUAGGGCCCGAUGAUUCUGAGACAUUCGCUUUCCGAUCUGUUUCCCAACUCACUAUGUGCAAGACGUUCCAUAAUUCAACAAUCCUUGAGACGGAGCUGGACGAAAAGGUUAGUUGCCCAUUCUUUGUUCUUAUAUGUUGCAUAUUUAGUGGCCAGUUAUCUGAUAGACAGGAUUAGAUUUAGUUGUCCAUUCUUUGUUCUUAUAUGUUGCAUAUUUAGUGGCCAGUUCGCUGGUAGACAUGAUUAGAUAGACAUUUCUAUUUCAUGGAUGGACAAAUUAGACUCGGCAAUAGACAAGAUAAUCUGGUGAUAGGCAUGUAUGAAACAUCGCUAGUAGGCUUAACGAGGAAGAUGCGGACAACAUAUUAAGUUUUUUGCCCACGUUUGACAUUGCUCUAUCUUCC
rnacentral:lncRNA from 1 species